GAUGAACGCUGGCGGCGUGCCUAAUACAUGCAAGUCGAGCGAACAGAUAAGGAGCUUGCUCCUUUGACGUUAGCGGCGGACGGGUGAGUAACACGUGGAUAACCUACCUAUAAGACUGUGAUAACUUCGGGAAACCGGAGCUAAUACCGGAUAACAUAUUGAACCGCAUGGUUCAAUAGUGAAAGGCGGCUUUGCUGUCACUUAUAGAUGGAUCCGCGACGUAUUAGCUAGUUGGUAAGGUAACGGCUUACCAAGGCAACGAUACGUAGCCGACCUGAGAGUGUGAUCCGCCACACUGGAACUGAGACACGGUCCAGACUCCUACGGGAGGCAGCAGUAGGGAAUGUUCCGCAAUGGGCGAAAGCCUGACGGCGCAACGCCGCGUGAGUGAUGAAGGUCUUCGGAUCGUAAAACUCUGUUAUCAGGGAAGAACAAAUGUGUAAGUAACUGUGCACAUCUUGACGGUACCUGAUCAGAAAGCCACGGCUAACUACGUGCCAGCCGCCGCAGUAA
rnacentral:rRNA from 1 species